ACUGAACGCUGGCGUCAGGCCUAACACAUGCAAGUCGAACGGUAACAGGAAGACGCUUGCUUCUUUGCUGACGAGUGGCGGACGGGUGAGUAAUGUCUGGGAAACUGCCUGAUGGAGGGGGAUAACUACUGGAAACGGUAGCUAAUACCGCAUAACGUCGCAAGACCAAAGAGGGGGACCUUCGGGCCUCUUGCCAUCGGAUGUGCCCAGAUGGGAUUAGCUAGUAGGUGGGGUAACGGCUCACCUAGGCGACGAUCCCUAGCUGGUCUGAGAGGAUGACCAGCCACACUGGAACUGAAACACGGUCCAGACUCCUACGGGAGGCAGCAGUGGGGAAUAUUGCACAAUGGGCGCAAGCCGGAUGCAGCCAUGCCGCGUGUAUGAAGAAGGCCUUCGGGUUGUAAAGUACUUUCAGCGGGGAGGAAGGGAGUAAAGUUAAUACCUUUACUCAUUGACGUUACCCGCAGAAGAAGCACCGGCUAACUCCGUG
rnacentral:rRNA from 1 species